rnacentral:rRNA from 1 species
GACGGGUUAGUAACGCGUGGGAACAUACCCUUUUCUACGGAAUAGCCUCGGGAAACUGAGAGUAAUACCGUAUAAGCCCUUCGGGGGAAAGAUUUAUCGGGAAAGGAUUGGCCCGCGUUAGAUUAGAUAGUUGGUGGGGUAAUGGCCUACCAAGUCUACGAUCUAUAGCUGGUUUUAGAGGAUGAUCAGCAACACUGGGACUGAGACACGGCCCAGACUCCUACGGGAGGCAGCAGUGGGGAAUCUUAGACAAUGGGCGCAAGCCUGAUCUAGCCAUGCCGCGUGUGUGAUGAAGGUCUUAGGAUCGUAAAGCACUUUCGCCAGGGAUGAUAAUGACAGUACCUGGUAAAGAAACCCCGGCUAACUCCGUGCCAGCAGCCGCGGUAAUACGGAGGGGGUUAGCGUUGUUCGGAAUUACUGGGCGUAAAGCGUACGUAGGCGGAUUGGAAAGUUGGGGGUGAAAUCCCAGGGCUCAACCCUGGAACUGCCUCCAAAACUAUCAGUCUAGAGUUCGAGAGAGGUGAGUGGAAUUCCAAGUGUAGAGGUGAAAUUCGUAGAUAUUUGGAGGAACACCAGUGGCGAAGGCGGCUCACUGGCUC